rnacentral:lncRNA from 1 species
GUAACAAACUUUGUAUUUAUAAACGUUAUAAACUAGUAUUUGGUUUUGAAAAAUACUUAGAUUUUCAUUGUAAUGUAUCUAUAUUAACAAAACUGCGUAGCGGCACACUUAGAUUAAAUGUUGAAGUUGGUCGUUAUCUAAAUACUCAAAGAGAAAACAGAAUUUGUAUAUGUUGCAAUAUGAAUGUUUUAGAGGACGAGUAUCAUUUUGUUUUAUCAUGUCCAGCGUAUAGAUCUGUGCGUAUAGAAUUUUUACCUUUAUUCUACUGUUCUUGGCCAAAUCGGCACAAGUUAGAUAAUUUACUACAAGCUCAUUCUAAAUCACUGACAGGAAAAAUAUGCAAUUAUUUAAAUGCAGCUUGGAAAAUUAUAUCACAUAUAUUGUCAUAAUAUUAUUGUAUACUCUG